rnacentral:rRNA from 1 species
UACGUAGGGGGCUAGCGUUGUCCGGAAUCAUUGGGCGUAAAGAGCGUGUAGGCGGUCCGGUAAGUCCGCUGUGAAAGUCGGGGGCUCAACCCUCGAAUGCCGGUGGAUACUGUCGGGCUAGAGUGCGGAAGAGGCGAGUGGAAUUCCUGGUGUAGCGGUGAAAUGCGCAGAUAUCGAGAGGAACACCUGCGGCGAAGGCGGGUUGCUGGGCUGACACUGACGCUGGAGGCGCGAAAAGCUAGGGGAGCGAACGGG